UACGAAGGGGGCUAGCGUUGCUCGGAAUCACUGGGCGUAAAGCGCACGUAGGCGGCUUUCUAAGUCAGGGGUGAAAUCCUGGAGCUCAACUCCAGAACUGCCUUUGAUACUGGAGAGCUAGAGUCCGGAAGAGGUGAGUGGAACUGCGAGUGUAGAGGUGAAAUUCGUAGAUAUUCGCAAGAACACCAGUGGCGAAGGCGGCUCACUGGCCCGGUACUGACGCUGAGGUGCGAAAGCGUGGGGAGCAAACAGG
rnacentral:rRNA from 1 species